rnacentral:rRNA from 1 species
UAGCCUUGACAUACUACAGAAUUUGACAGAGAUGUUGAAGUGCCUUCGGGAGCUGUAAUACAGGUGCUGCACGGCUGUCGUCAGCUCGUGUCGUGAGAUGUUGGGUUAAGUCCCGCAACGAGCGCAACCCCUGUUGCUAGUUACAUGUGUCUAGCGAGACUGCCGGUUUAACGCCGGAGGAAGGAGGGGAUGACGUCAAGUCAGCAUGGCCUUUAUGUCCAGGGCAACACACGUGCUACAAUGGUUAGGACAAUGAGAAGCGAUACCGCGAGGUGGAGCAAAUCUAUAAACCUAAUCUCAGUUCGGAUAGCAGUCUGCAACUCGACUGCUUGAAGCUGGAAUCACUAGUAAUCGUAAAUCAGCUAUGUUACGGUGAAUACGUUCCCGGGUCU